rnacentral:rRNA from 1 species
UACGUAGGUGGCAAGCGUUGUCCGGAAUUAUUGGGCGUAAAGCGCGCGCAAGCGGCCUCCUAAGUCCGAUGUGAAAGCCCACGGCUCAACCGUGGAGGGUCAUUGGAAACUGGGGGACUUGAGUGCAGGAGAGAGGAGUGGAAUUCCACGUGUAGCGGUGAAAUGCGUAGAGAUGUGGAGGAACACCAGUGGCGAAGGCGACUCUUUGGCCUGUAACUGACGCUGAGGCGCGAAAGCGUGGGGAGCAAACAGG